UACAGAGGUCUCAAGCGUUGUUCGGAUUCAUUGGGCGUAAAGGGUGCGUAGGUGGCGCCGUAAGUCAGGUGUGAAAUUUCGGAGCUUAACUCCGAAACUGCAUUUGAUACUGCGGUGCUUGAGGACUGGAGAGGAGACUGGAAUUUACGGUGUAGCAGUGAAAUGCGCAGAUAUCAGGAGGAACACCAAUGGCGAAGGCAGCUCACUGGGACGGUAUUGACGCUGAGACGCGAAAGCGUGGGGAGCAAACAGG
rnacentral:rRNA from 1 species